GAUCCUGGCUUAGAACGAACGCUGGCGGCAGGCCUAAGUCAUGCAAGUUGAACGGCUGUAGCAAUACAGCAGUAGCGGACGGGUGAGUAAUGUAUGGGAACGUAUCUCUUAGUGGGGAAUAUUCUUUGGAAACGAAGAGCAAUACCGCAUGAGUCCUACGGGAGAAAGUCGCAAGACGCUGAGAGAGCGGCCCAUAUUGGAUUAGCUAGUUGGUUGGGUAACGGCUGACCAAGGCAACGAUCCAUAGCUGGUCUAAGAGGACGAUCAGCCACAGUUGGGACUGAGACACCGGCCCAGACUCCGUACGGGAGGCAGCAGUCAGGAAUAUUGGACAAGUGGGGGCAACCCUGAUCCAAGCCAUGCCGCGUGAGUGUUAAGGUCUUCGGAUUGUAAAGCUCUUUUGUGUGGGAAAAUGAUGAUGGUACCACAAGAAUAAGCACCGGCUAACUUCGUGCCAGCAGCGGC
rnacentral:rRNA from 1 species